AUACGGAGGAUGCGAGCGUUAUCCGGAUUUAUUGGGUUUAAAGGGAGCGUAGGUGGGAUAUUAAGUCAGCUGUGAAAGUUUGGGGCUCAACCUUAAAAUUGCAGUUGAUACUGGUUUCCUUGAGUACGGUACAGGUGGGCGGAAUUCGUGGUGUAGCGGUGCAAUGCUUAGAUAUCACGAAGAACUCCGAUCGCGAAGGCAGCUCACCGGGCCGGAACUGACACUGAUGCUCGAAAGUGCGGGUAUCAAACAGGAUUAGAUACCCUGGUAGUCCGCACAGUAAACGAUGAAUACUCGCUGUUUGCGAUACACGGUAAGCGGCCAAGCGAAAGCGUUAAGUAUUCCACCUGGGGAGUACGCCGGCAACGGUGAAACUCAAAUGAAUUGACGGGG
rnacentral:rRNA from 1 species